GAACUGAGAUAUCCCGUUUGCCUUGCUGAUCUCUUUGGGCUUGGAAGAAUAUAGGUGGCAUCUUCCCAGUGCCAUGAAAACAAGUCCCCACUCAUGGUAUACUGUGCUGUUCUGUGUCUUCUCUUUAUUAUGUGAGGAAUAAAAUAGCUAACAAUAUUACCAUUUUAAAACUGCCAUCGCUUGGCCUCUGAGUUAACUCCUCCCAGAGGGGAGUAGGACUGUUCACCUUUAUCAGGGCUCUCUUCAAACUCAACCAUGAUUUAGUUCUGGUGGGUUUAUAUUUCUAAAGUUGUCUUCACAGCUAUAACUAAUAAAGAAUUAUUUUAUUUUUAAAUUAAAGCUGCAGUUCUAGUAAAGAAGAAACAAAUGAUAAAAGUUUCUAUCUCAGAAAUGUGAAGUGCUAUGAAAGACCACUCUUACAUGGACACAGAGAUCAUAUUACUAAAGAAGCAAAAUAUGGCUCCACAUAGACACAAGAACAAAAAAGCCUUUGCUGCAGAGCUCACCAAGUUGCUUUUACUUGCCUGGAUUUUGGUGGGCCCGUCACAUUUAUAGGAAACAUUAAGGCGAUAAAUGUACCUGGAAUACAGGUCCAGUGGGCGACAGUCCAGAAUAUUAACAUCAUUAUUUCUAAUAAAAUGAGCGUGCUGGCUGGUCCAUAGGAAAUACA